CUAGAUCCUAACAGUAACCUUUAACAGGUUGAAACUAAUGGUCAGGUUGUACCCGGGCCUGAAUAUGAAAGUCCUAACCUGAAUGGCUCCAUUGGAACCUCCUCUCCUCAGGAGCACCUGACAGGUCAUUGUAAUCUCACCUCUUUGAUUUACCAAAAAAAAAUGUUGUCACGCACAAAGAUCUGAAUGCAGUAAAAAGGUUAACUAAUAUUCAGUAGUACUGGUAUUCUGCUUCUACCACCAGCACAGCAUUGCUCAAACGAACUACCUUUCCUGCAUUUUAGGUACCACUAAUACGACAUAGACUGUGCCUCUCAGCUAACUAUGCUGACCAUUGCUCCUCUCAGUAUUAGGUUCCUAAGCCAGAAUUCAAUUUAUGCUUCACUUACUCACUAUACUUAAGAAAUAGAAUGCUAUUACAAUCACCGAUGUUGUAUCUUCUUCUAACUAGACCACCUUUUUCUUGUGCACCAUAAAGACCACCAAAGCAGAUUUGGGAGGUAGUACUCCCAUGCUGUUCAAGACAUUUACAGGUAAGGAAUUGCUGGAUUCGAGCGCCAAGGUAAAUCCCCUCCGCUCCAUUCCUUCCUGGCAUUUCCUAGGUAAAGUAAGACCAUCCCUCCCAAUAUUUGUUUUAAUUCUUCCACUAACAGAGAUGCAUGGAGCAGUAUGCUGAAAUCUUUUCGCAAGUUGUCGCUGUUCAAAAGUAUGGAACAAUCCCUUAUGAAUGAUUUGAUGAUUUUAUUUGUCUAGAUGAGUACCUGUUCAUAAUCUAGAUAUGCAUGAUUACAGUAAGCUUACAAUCUGGAAAUGUUUCUUUCUUGAAAAAAUACCUUUAUUCAGAUUCUUUAGAUGAACUAAUGGAGCAUGCUUAUAUAUUAUAAUAAUUGAUAACUCGCCAACAUUAGGGGCCACUUUCCUUUUGUUUUGCUGCUGGGCUGCCAUUGAUGGCUUCCAUAUAUUUUCCUAAAAAUAACAUAGCUUCGUCCCUUUCCUACAAUUACUUAUUUGAUUCAUAUAUUAUUUUCCCCUCUUUUCAUAUCCACUAAGGUAUGAUGAAGAUUUCCUAAUUUCUGUGUCGGACUACUUGAUCAAGUAGUCCAUGUUUGCUAUACAUAUGGUGAAAUCUUUAAAAUAAACUUGGAAUGUUGCCUUAAACUCGAUUAUACCAUUCUCACUUCCUUGUUCUUAACCCAUUUGCUUGUGAACCUAUGCAGAAUCAAAGCAAGGAAAAAAAAGACUGCCAUUCUACUGUAUUUGAAAGACUUGAUGGUGUCCUGCCCCUCCUGCGCCUACAACACUAGACCUGUACCUGGCGGCCUCCAAUUUUGACUGCCUUGCCUUCUUUUCCCAUCUGGUCCGGUGCAGGCAAGGAAGGGGGCGUCUCUUGCAUCAUGGAGUCUCUUGUUCACAUUCUGUUCCUUCCCCAGCUCCUCCACAUGAUUCAGAUGUUCUCAUCAUGUGCUGCUUCUGCCCUCCCUCCAUUGCAAGGGAAAAAAAUAUGCCGCUGCUUUGGCCCCGUUCCUCAUAAGUCAAAAAGGUAACACUCUCGUUCCUUCCAUGAAAUUUCUCACUGCUCCUGCUGUUCCUGCUUGCCUUCGUACACCAUUGGUCAAUUUUACUGUUUGUCCACCUUCCCCACGCCAAACAUGUACUGAUUUGCAAAGUGAAAUAAUAUAAAAACCCAAUAUUUUAACUCCAGUGUGCUCAUUCAGGUCAAGCGCUACACAAGGCUGCAUAAAUAAGCACUGAUUAUCUCUAACAAGCAGCAUGCUAGACUCCUUCGCCCUCCUAUAGAGCUUUCAGUGAUUCUUUACAGCAUGCAUACUGUUAAUCCAGAUUUUAUUACUCUCCCCAGGCCUCUAACUUAAUUAUAGUACUAAUAUUUCUUGCAUUAUAAUAUUACAUGAUACUAUUUACAUUAUAAUAUUACAGGACAUCUCCACUCCUUCUGUGAAUUAUGAAGCCCCUUGCAGAAGUCUUUUGUUCCGUUGUAAUAACUAUAUCCAUAUUUUAGAUUUUUAUCCUAGACUAUGAAGCUGAUAGCUACUAUCUCAAUAAAUCUAAAACUCCUUGUAAAUAACUCUUAUAUUUCGUUGUGACAUAACCAGAAAAUUCUUAUUUGUCCUCUAUGGCAAUAUGAGUCUACUAAAUGUACAAAUUUUAUUAUUCAGAUCGAUAAAGUUGACA